rnacentral:rRNA from 1 species
AGCAGCCGCGGUAAUUCCAGCUCCAAUAGCGUAUAUUAAAGUUGUUGCAGUUAAAAAGCUCGUAGUUGAAUUUCGAGACCGGUCUACUGGUCGUGCUUUUGUACGUACUGGUAUAAUCGGUUUCUCUCUUCUGACGAACUAUAAUGCCAUUAAUUUGGUGUUUUAGGGAAUCAGGACUGUUACUUUGAAAAAAUUAGAGUGUUUAAAGCAGGCUCACGCUUGAAUACAUUAGCAUGGAAUAACGAAAUAGGACGUUUGAUUCUAUUUUGUUGGUUUCUAGGAUCGACGUAAUGAUUAAUAGGGAUAGUUGGGGGCAUUAGUAUUCAAUUGUCAGAGGUGAAAUUCUUGGAUUUAUUGAAGACUAACUACUGCGAAAGCAUUUGCCAAGGAUGUUUUCAUUAAUCAAGAACGAAAGUUAGGGGAUCGAAGACGAUCAGAUACCGUCGUAGUCUUAACCAUAAAUUAUGCCGACUAGGGAUCGGAUGAUGUUAAAUUAAUGACUCA